GUGGUUGUCGUUUGUUUAUGUGUUACAUAUUUGUUUUUCGUUCAUUUUUUUACAUAAAUAAGGCCGUUAGUUUUCUCGUUUGAAUUGUUUUACAUUGUCUUAUCGGGCCUUUUAUAGCUGACUAUGCGGUAUGGGCUUUGUUCAUUGUUGAAGGCCGUACGGUGACCUAUAGUUGUUAAUGUCUGUGUCAUUUUGGUCUUUUGUGGAUAGUUGUCUCAUUGGCAAUCAUACCACAUCUUCUUUUUUAUA
rnacentral:lncRNA from 1 species